rnacentral:rRNA from 1 species
UGCAACUCGACUCCAUGAAGCUGGAUUCGCUAGUAAUCGCGCAUCAGCCAUGGCGCGGUGAAUACGUUCCCGGGCCUUGUACACACCGCCCGUCAAGCCAUGGGAGUCGGGAGUGCCUGAAGUUCGUGACCGUCACAGGAGCGACCUAAGGCAAGACCGAUGACUGGGGCUAAGUCGUAACAAGGUAUC